rnacentral:rRNA from 1 species
UUCGGAAUGACGAGGUUUGUGACUGAGCGGCGGACGGGUGAGUAACGCGUGGGCAACCUGCCCUGUACAGGGGGAUAACAGUUAGAAAUGACUGCUAAUACCGCAUAAGCCCACAGCUUCGCAUGAAGCAGUGGGAAAAACUCCGGUGGUACAGGAUGGGCCCGCGUCUGAUUAGCUAGUUGGUAAGGUAACGGCUUACCAAGGCGACGAUCAGUAGCCGACCUGAGAGGGUGACCGGCCACAUUGGGACUGAGACACGGCCCAAACUCCUACGGGAGGCAGCAGUGGGGAAUAUUGCACAAUGGGGGAAACCCUGAUGCAGCGACGCCGCGUGAGCGAUGAAGUAUUUCGGUAUGUAAAGCUCUAUCAGCAGGGAAGAAAGUGACGGUACCUGACUAAGAAGCCCCGGCUAACUACGUGCCAGCAGCCGCGGUAAUACGUAGGGGGCAAGCGUUAUUCCGGAUUUACU